UGAAACCAAAACAGAGGAGAUAGGUGGACAGCUGGACUUUCCAGAAACUACCGAUUAGCCCACUUUGGUUUGUGUUUUUUUCCAAUGCAGGAUGGAAAUAAUUGGCUGUUUGCAAACAACAUGCAGAAAGAGGAAAUGUUUGAGCUAAAGCUAUAAUUAGUUUGUCAGUGCCGUGUGUCUAUGAUGUGUGUACAAAGAGAAAUGCAUUCCUGCUGCAAUAACUUCCUUUUCCCUCUCUGCCAUCUCUUUCCAAAAUGGGCCUGAAUAAUAGAAGACCAAUGGAAGUAAGACAGCAGUGAGUCAUUUGGUGGAAAGAGACAUUGACAACAAACAUGGCUAGCAGGCUGCAAAUGGAGCCUGGAAUAUAAUCUUCUGUCAGUCGCUGAUUGGUAGAGCUUGGACAAAUGAAGCAACCAUCUGGUUGUUCUUCCUAACUACAGACCAACAAUAGGCUAGGAAGGCCAUUUCCUUUCUUUAGAGAUUUCUUGUAAGCUAAAUAGCUGGUGUCUUUGUACCACUAUCAACUUAGUGUGGCUGGUGUCUUUCUAGCACUUGGAACAUAGCCUACGGUGAACAGAUAACAGCUUGAGAACAACACUACCUGCACUUGAAUGAGCUCUGUCACUUGCUGUGUAACCUUGGGAAAGAUGCUCAAGUCCUUUAUUUCUCAGUUUCCUUGUUUAUACAACAAAUAGGUGGCUUAAUCCACAGGCAUGAAGGCUGCCAAUAUGGGAGGUAGACGCUACAUACACGAAAAAAAGACUGAAAGAAAACACUCUAAAAUGUCACUAAUGGUUUUCAUUGACUCCUAGAAUCAGGUUUUACCUCCCUAGAUGCUCAAACACAGAGAUGCAAGAAUUACUUAGAAGAAAAGUAAGAAGGCAGCCUUGAGUGCCACGGUACUGCUUGAAUGAAGCCAGGCUGAUUAAAGACUACAGUUGUCCACUUUUUUUCCACCGUUUCAUUUUCCAUGGUUCUAGUUGCCUGUGGUCAACGGUAGUUCUUAAAUAUUGAAUAGAAACACCCAGAAAUAAAGGAUUCAUAAGUAUUUUA